GAGAAGUUUUAUUCUUGCUUGUUCGUUCAUUAUUUUACUUGCUCUAUAUGUAAGUUUGUGCGUGAUUAUUUCGUUGGUUCUAAAUGGUCCAGUGGGUCUAUGGUUAGUUUAAUUCUCAUUAGUUAUUGUUAUUGGUCAAGGAUUCUUGUAGUUAGUGAUGUAUUUUUAGUUUCGGUUAAAUUUUGUGCCAGCAGCCGCGGUUAUACCUUGGAUGCAGUUGAACGUGUUUGGUUUAUGGUAGUUAUAUGUUUUGAUUGUUAGGUUGUAUUUUGGGGGGUUGGCUGGGUGAAAUUUUUAUUUUUGUUUUAUUUUCCUUUAUAUUUUGUUUGGAGGCUAUGAAAUUCUUUUUUUAGACUAGGAUUAGAUACCCUAUUAUUUUUGAAUGUUAAUUUUUGUGCUUGAGUAGUAUUAGGUAUGUUCUUGAAACUUAAAGAAUUUGGCGGUAUCUUAUUCCGUUCAGAGGAAUCUGUCUCGUUAUCGAUAGUCCGCGUUGGACCUUACUUGGUUGCUAUGGUUUGUAUACCGCCGUUUAUUGAUUAUGCUUUUAGGGUUUGUUAAUUUUCUGGUUUCUUUAUUUUGAUUUAUUUCAGGUCAAGGUGCAGCUUGUUUCUAAGUGUUAUUGAUGGGUUACAUUGUUCUUUGUUGUUUGGAUUGCUGGUUGAAGUUAUUGGUAUGAAAUUGGAUUUGAUUGUAAUGUCUUGAAGAUUGUUUUCGUGAUAUAGGUUCUAAGAUAUGUACACAUCGCCCGUCGCUCUCGUUUAUUGUUAUAAUGAGAUAAGUCGUAACAAAGUGGUUGUACCGGAAGGUGUGGCUGGAGUGAU
rnacentral:ncRNA from 1 species